UACGGGGGGGGCAAGCGUUGUUCGGAAUUACUGGGCGUAAAGGGCGCGUAGGCGGUUCGCUAAGUUGGAUGUGAAAACUCUGGGCUUAACCCAGAGCCUGCAUCCAAAACUGGCAAACUUGAGUACUGGAGGGGAAAGCGGAAUUCCUGGUGUAGCGGUGAAAUGCGUAGAUAUCAGGAGGAACACCGGUGGCGAAGGCGGGUCUCUGGACAGUUCCUGACGCUGAGGCACGAAGGCCAGGGGAGCAAACGGG
rnacentral:rRNA from 1 species